UACGAAGGGUGCAAGCGUUACUCGGAAUUACUGGGCGUAAAGCGUGCGUAGGUGGUUCGUUAAGUCCGAUGUGAAAGCCCUGGGCUCAACCUGGGAAUGGCAUUGGAUACUGGCGGGCUAGAGUGCGGUAGAGGGCAGUGGAAUUCCCGGUGUAGCAGUGAAAUGCGUAGAGAUCGGGAGGAACAUCUGUGGCGAAGGCGACUGCCUGGACCAGCACUGACACUGAGGCACGAAAGCGUGGGGAGCAAACAGGAUUAGAAACCCAGUAGUCC
rnacentral:rRNA from 1 species